rnacentral:rRNA from 1 species
UACGUAGGGACCGAGCGUUGUCCGGAUUCAUUGGGCGUAAAGAGCUCGUAGGCGGCUGUUCAAGUCGAACGUGAAAACUCGGAGCUCAACUCCGAGCCUGCGUUCGAUACUGGACGGCUAGAGUUCGGUAGGGGAGUCUGGAAUUCCUGGUGUAGCGGUGAAAUGCGCAGAUAUCAGGAGGAACACCGGUGGCGAAGGCGGCUACCUGGCCCAAUACUGACACUCAGGUGCGACAGCGUGGGGAGCAAACAGG